rnacentral:rRNA from 1 species
UGGGGAAUUUUGGACAAUGGGCGAAAGCCUGAUCCAGCAAUGCCGCGUGUGUGAAGAAGGCCUUCGGGUUGUAAAGCACUUUUGUCCGGAAAGAAAUCCUUGGCUCUAAUACAGUCGGGGGAUGACGGUACCGGAAGAAUAAGCACCGGCUAACUACGUGCCAGCAGCCGCGGUAAUACGUAGGGUGCGAGCGUUAAUCGGAAUUACUGGGCGUAAAGCGUGCGCAGGCGGUUUGCUAAGACCGAUGUGAAAUCCCCGGGCUCAACCUGGGAACUGCAUUGGUGACUGGCAGGCUAGAGUAUGGCAGAGGGGGGUAGAAUUCCACGUGUAGCAGUGAAAUGCGUAGAGAUGUGGAGGAAUACCGAUGGCGAAGGCAGCCCCCUGGGCCAAUACUGACGCUCAUGCACGAAAGCGUGGGGAGCAAACAGGAUUAGAUACCCUGGUAGUCCACGCCCUAAACGAUGUCAACUAGUUGUUGGGGAUUCAUUUCCUUAGUAACGUAGCUAACGCGUGAAGUUGACCGCCUGGGGAGUACGGUCGCAAGAUUAAAACUCAAAGGAAUUGACGGGGACCCGCACAAGCGGUGGAUGAUGUGGAUUAAUUCGAUGCAACGCGAAAAACCUUACCUACCCUUGACAUGGUCGGAAUCCCGCUGAGAGGUGGGAGUGCUCGAAAGAGAACCGGCGCACAGGUGCUGCAUGGCUGUCGUCAGCUCGUGUCGUGAGAUGUUGGGUUAAGUCCCGCAACGAGCGCAACCCUUGUCCUUAGUCGCUACGCAAGAGCACUCUAAGGAGACUGCCGGUGACAAACCGGAGGAAGGUGGGGAUGACGUCAAGUCCUCAUGGCCCUUAUGGGUAGGGCUUCACACGUCAUACAAUGGUCGGAACAGAGGGUUGCCAACCCGCGAGGGGGAGCUAAUCCCAGAAAACCGAUCGUAGUCCGGAUUGCACUCUGCAACUCGAGUGCAUGAAGCUGGAAUCGCUAGUAAUCGCGGAUCAGCAUGCCGCGGUGAAUACGUUCCACGGGCCUUGUACACACCGC